UGCUUUAAAAUGCACGCAUUAUAUCCUGGUGAAGAAUAGCUAAUCACUAUGCCAGGACAAUAUCUCAAUGCACGGACGAGACUAAAGGAUACUUUGGUCGGUAGUUUACGUUCUCAAUGUAUAAGGCUAUGCCGAAGUCGGAGAGUGAAGACGGGAACCCGUCAAGCAAGGAGAGUUGGUGUGUAUUAUAUACAACGAUUAGUGUGACAUGCUUUUGGUCAGUGUAAUAGACGGCUCCUGUGGAGCAAUAACCCUGGGAACUGGAUGAGCUGGUAACUCAUUACAGAUGGCAGGGAAUUACCAAAACAAGCUGAUUUGCCGUGAUACCUGGACAACCAGGAGUAUAACAAAAGCAUAAGUCGUAAGUAGCCCAAGGCAAUAAAAGAUUAUUUAUGAUAUUGAACAAUUAUCAAUGAAUAAAACAAUCUGAAUGAUGGGUGAAAGCUGGAGGUGAUAUUCCUUCAUGGGUUUGACGCUAAUUAAGGACGAACAUCACAAUCCAUCCGUAGGGUGCGAGAGUAUGUUGUAGAAUUAAUUUAGCUGGGGCAAGAAGUCAUUAUCGACGGAUAUUUGGCUCAGACUUGUCUCCCCAUUCGCAUAAUAAAUUACAGUAUAUAAUUCAUAAGAUGAAUAAAAGUCUAUAAUGUGUGUGUUUUAAAG
rnacentral:ncRNA from 1 species